AACUGCGCCAAAUUAAUGAAAAGCUCUUAUGAUUGAUGAUGAUAAAAAAGUUGUCGUACGUUGUAGGUCAGGGUCCAACAAGGUGAGUUGCGCAGGUCCUUAGGAUUUUUUUAUUUUUCAGGGUUUUCUGCAUCUUUCAGAUUUUUCUCUAUCUUUCAGGUUUUCCUUUUAUCUUCUUUUUCAGGUAGCACCUGAGCCUAGAUUUUUAAACCACUACAAUUUUCACUUAAUCACGAUGGAUUGAGAGUAGUGUUUUAAAAAUCAGGUAAAUCGCAUUGACUUAAUCGAUGUCAAUAUCGAAGUCGUGUGAGAAAUUGUUAUAGUAUGAGAACAAUUUCGUAAUUCGUGCUU